GUGGUAGAAGAAAGCAGUAUUCAUUACCUGGAUCACAGUGAAGAGAAACCUGAGAAUUUUUUGUUUUAAACUAUGAGAAAAACUUUUAGAAGGAAUUCUGUUUUUCUCCUUGUUUUUAUUUGAAAUUCCCUUUGUGAAAGCUUCAAUUCUGAGUUAUCGUUAAGACAAUUUAUGAAGUUGAAUCAUGGUUUUGAGUUUGGCAGUUUGUUAAAGGACAUGAGAAGGAUAAGGCAGGAGAUGGAGAAAGAGAUGGUUUAGCUUUAGUGGACAUCUUGACAGUGAGGUUCUGCUAGGAGACAGUGGAAGAGAUUACUAGAAGUCAAUGUCAUUUGAAGUAAGAUAUGAGAAGACCAUCAAACCAUUCAAAAUUAGGUGAAAAUUCACAGAUAAUUUUAAGAAGCAAUGUUGGGGAAUUCAUUAGUAAAAGAAAACAUUAUUUUAUAUGAAGAAAUUUGAAGUCCUAUAAAGAGCAUAGUUGCCAAAAAUAGAAAUGUACCAUGAAUUUAUAUUGGAAUAAGGGAAAAAGGAAAAAAAAAAGCUCUUAUCUUAAUUCUUGGCUUUAGCUCUAUUCACUACCAGAGAGAAUCACUUUACUUGCUUUUCAGGAAUAAAGCAAUGAAGGAGAAGCCAGUGAAUGUUGAGGAAUUUGGUGAGUGCUAUUUCAGACUGGUGUAAGAUGAAUUGAGGAAAUAUUGCAAUGUAGAUUACUCUCUGGGAAGGAGAGAAACAAUUUCCUGUUUUAUAGUAAGUCCCUCCUUCCAUAACAGGGAAGGGCAUUCUGAUGGAUGAUUUCCAAAUCCAUGAGAUUUUCUGUUUGUGGAAACAAGAUACGCCAUAGAGAAAUCAAGCCUAUAUGUAAGUAAAUU